UUUCCGUAGGUGAACCUGCGGAAGGAUCAUUGUCGAAGCCUGCCCAGCAGAACGACCCGCGAACUUGUAUAAACAACCGGGGGCAGGGGCGAUCUCGCCCCGUGCCCUCGAACGGCAGGGAGACACUCGUGCCUUCUUGUCGAACAACGAAUCCCGGCGCGGUCUGCGCCAAGGAACUUCAAUUAAAGAGUGCCUCCGGUCGCCUCGGAAACGAUGCGCGUGUCGGAGGCGAAUCUUGUACAAAACCAUAACGACUCUCGGCAACGGAUAUCUCGGCUCUC
rnacentral:misc_RNA from 1 species